rnacentral:lncRNA from 1 species
GUGGCAGUUCAUUCAAUAAUAUAUCUAGUAGCUAGAAAAAUUACGAGGAAUGGGGACUCAACUCUAGGGUGGUCUCUAAUUCACCACUAAAUCUCAAUUUAUUCAUGCCACACAAUAUAAGGACCAUGGUGCAUGGACAUCAUUGAAUAAAGGAGACAAGCACCUCAUGAUCGUUUGGGAGGUGAUGUUGCUGCAGCAAAUGACAUUGCUAGAGUAGGUCUUUCGAUGUAUCAGGUUUCGAAUCAUACAUCAGACCUCAUUCCACCCCGACACCGAUGAUCCAUAUACAUGUGGAUUGUCUAAGAUGUCAUACUCAAGCAAUUACAAUCCUUCAUGGCCUCAGCUAUAUCUACAUUUUUGGAUAGCCAACCUAGUCUCAAAUAGAUAACUCCUCUUAGAGUAACGAUCCGUUGGACU